AUGGAAGCCCCAGCUCAGCUUCUCUGCCUCCUGUUACUCUGGCUCCCAGAUACCACCAGACAAAUCAUGAUGACACAGUCUCCAGCUUCCCUAUUUUUCUAUCUAGGAGAAAGAGCCACCCUCACCUGCAGGGCCAGUCAGAGUGUUAGUAGCUACUUAGCCUGGUACCAGCAGAAACCUGGGCAGGCUCCCAGGGUCCUCAUCUAUAGGGCAUCCACCAGGGCCACCAGCAUCCCAGCCAGGUUCAGUGGCAGUGGGUCUGGGACAGAGUUUACUCUCACCAUCAGCAGCCUGGAAGCUGAGGAUGCUGCAGUUUACUACUGUCAGCAAGGCUCCAGUGGGAAACCGGUGAUUCAGUCCCCAACAGAAACCUCCUCAGCCUCAUCUGCAUUCACCCUCUUUCACCCCUGGAGAACAGCUGUUUUCUCCAGAGACACCAAGACAGAUCUUCAGCUGUUUUCUCUGUUCCCUCUAGAACUUUAA